UACGGGGGGUGCGAGCGUUGUCCGGAAUCACUGGGCGUAAAGGGCGCGUAGGUGGUUUGAUAAGGGUGUGGUGAAAGUCCGGGGCUCAACCCCGGAUCUGCCGUGCCGACUGUCAAACUCGAGGACUGUAGAGGCAGACGGAAUUCCGGGUGUAGCGGUGGAAUGCGUAGAGAUCCGGAGGAAGACCGGUGGCGAAGGCGACUACCUGGCCUGUUCUUGACGCUGAGGCGCGAAAGCUAGGGGAGCAAACGGGG
rnacentral:rRNA from 1 species